rnacentral:rRNA from 1 species
UACAGAGGGUGCGAGCGUUAAUCGGAUUUACUGGGCGUAAAGGGCGCGUAGGCGGACAGUUAAGUUGGGGGUGAAAGCCCGGGGCUCAACCUCGGAAUUGCCUUCAAUACUGGCUGUCUUGAGUGUGAGAGAGGUGUGUGGAACUCCGAGUGUAGAGGUGAAAUUCGUAGAUAUUCGGAAGAACACCAGUGGCGAAGGCGACACACUGGCUCACUACUGACGCUGAGGCGCGAAAGCGUGGGGAGCAAACAGG